CAGCUAACGCGAUAAGUAGACCGCCUGGGGAGUACGGUCGCAAGACUAAAACUCAAAUGAAUUGACGGGGGCCCGCACAAGCGGUGGAGCAUGUGGUUUAAUUCGAUGCAACGCGAAGAACCUUACCUGGUCUUGACAUAGAUAAGAACUUUCCAGAGAUGGAUUGGUGCCUUCGGGAACUUACAUACAGGUGCUGCAUGGCUGUCGUCAGCUCGUGUCGUGAGAUGUUGGGUUAAGUCCCGCAACGAGCGCAACCCUUUUCCUUAUUUGCCAGCGAGUAAUGUCGGGAACUUUAAGGAUACUGCCAGUGACAAACUGGAGGAAGGCGGGGAACAACGUCAAGUCAUCAUGGCCCUUACAGCCAGGGCUACCCACGUGCUACAAUGGUCGGUACAAAGGGUUGCUACCUAGCGAUAGGAUGCUAAUCUCAAAAAGCCGAUCGUAGUCCGGAUUGAAGUCUGCAACUCGCACUCCAUGAAGUCGGAAUCCGCUAGUAAUCGCGAGAUCAAAAUGCCGCGGGUGAAUCACGUUCCCGGGCCUUGUACACCCCGCCCGUCACACC
rnacentral:rRNA from 1 species